rnacentral:rRNA from 1 species
AGUGAACGCUGGCGGCAGGCCUAACACAUGCAAGUCGAACGGCAGCACAGUGGAGCUUGCUCCAUGGGUGGCGAGUGGCGAACGGGUGAGUAAUGCAUCGGAACGUGCCCAGGAGUGGGGGAUAACCCGGCGAAAGCCGGGCUAAUACCGCAUACGACCCAAGGGUGAAAGCGGGGGACCGUAAGGCCUCGCGCUAUUGGAGCGGCCGAUGUCUGAUUAGCUAGUUGGCGGGGUAAGAGCCCACCAAGGCGACGAUCAGUAGCUGGUCUGAGAGGACGACCAGCCACACUGGGACUGAGACACGGCCCAGACUCCUACGGGAGGCAGCAGUGGGGAAUUUUGGACAAUGGGCGCAAGCCUGAUCCAGCCAUGCCGCGUGCGGGAAGAAGGCCUUCGGGUUGUAAACCGCUUUUGGCAGGAACGAAACGGCGCAAGCCAAUACCUUGCGCUAAUGACGGUACCUGCAGAAUAAGCACCGGCUAACUACGUGCCAGCCGCCGCGGUAAUAC